CAGCAGCCACGGUAAUACAGAGGGUGCAAGCGUUAAUCGGAAUUACUGGGCGUAAAGCGCGAGUAGGUGGUUUGUUAAGUUGGAUGUGAAAUCCCCGGGCUCAACCUGGGAACUGCAUCCAAAACUGGCAAGCUAGAGUAUGGUAGAGGGUGGUGGAAUUUCCUGUGUAGCGGUGAAAUGCGUAGAUAUAGGAAGGAACACCAGUGGCGAAGGCGACCACCUGGACUGAUACUGACACUGAGGUGCGAAAGCGUGGGGAGCAAACAGGAUUAGAUACCCCGGUAGUCCCUGUCUCUUAUAC
rnacentral:rRNA from 1 species